CCCGUCUCAGGAUCGCACCUGGAGAGUUUCCAGUACUCUACCAGCCUCGGUUACGGAAGGGAGAGUCAAGCAGAGGCCUAAUCAUUCCAUUCCAUUCUUAGCUCGGGCAGUGGCUAGCGAGUGGAAGGCAAUCUGCUACAAGU